rnacentral:rRNA from 1 species
UACGUAGGGUGCGAGCGUUAAUCGGAAUUACUGGGCGUAAAGCGUGCGCAGGCGGUUUUGUAAGCCGGAUGUGAAAUCCCCGGGCUUAACCUGGGAAUGGCAUUCGGGACUGCAAGGCUGGAGUGCGGCAGAGGAGACUGGAAUUCCUGGUGUAGCAGUGAAAUGCGUAGAUAUCAGGAGGAACACCGAUGGCGAAGGCAGGUCUCUGGGCUGACACUGACGCUCAUGCACGAAAGCGUGGGAGCAAGAGGAUAGAAACC